AUUGAACGCUGGCGGCAGGCCUAACACAUGCAAGUCGAACGGUAACAGGAAGCAGCUUGCUGCUUCGCUGACGAGUGGCGGACGGGUGAGUAAUGUCUGGGAAGCUGCCUGAUGGAGGGGGAUAACUACUGGAAACGGUAGCUAAUACCGCAUAAUGUCGCAAGACCAAAGAGGGGGACCUUCGGGCCUCUUGCCAUCGGAUGUGCCCAGAUGGGAUUAGCUUGUUGGUGGGGUAACGGCUCACCAAGGCGACGAUCCCUAGCUGGUCUGAGAGGAUGACCAGCCACACUGGAACUGAGACACGGUCCAGACUCCUACGGGAGGCAGCAGUGGGGAAUAUUGCACAAUGGGCGCAAGCCUGAUGCAGCCAUGCCGCGUGUAUGAAGAAGGCCUUCGGGUUGUAAAGUACUUUCAGCGGGGAGGAAGGGAGUAAAGUUAAUACCUUUGCUCAUUGACGUUACCCGCAGAAGAAGCACCGGCUAACUCCGUGCCAGCAGCCGCGGUAAUACGGAGGGUGCAGGCGUUAAUCGGAAUUACUGGGCGUAAAGCGCACGCAGGCGGUUUGUUAAGUCAGAUGUGAAAUCCCCGGGCUCAACCUGGGAACUGCAUCUGAUACUGGCAAGCUUGAGUCUCGUAGAGGGGGGUAGAAUUCCAGGUGUAGCGGUGAAAUGCGUAGAGAUCUGGAGGAAUACCGGUGGCGAAGGCGGCCCCCUGGACGAAGACUGACGCUCAGGUGCGAAAGCGUGGGGAGCAAACAGG
rnacentral:rRNA from 1 species